rnacentral:sRNA from 2 species
AGAGUAAGUCAGCCUAAUCCGACGUAUUUACAGUAAUUAAAGUUGGAGCGGAGGAACCACCUUGUGGGGCGUAUCUCCCAAAGAGUGUUAACUAAAGAGUCAAGAGUCAAGAAUAACUCAAUCUAAAAUAUCUAACUCAGCACUCAUUACUUAGCACUCAAAAGAGAGGGGCAUCUCUCAGCCCUAGCCCGUCAGCUAACUUCGUAGGCAUUGAGAGGAGACUGA